rnacentral:rRNA from 1 species
AGAGUUUGAUCCUGGCUCAGAUUGAACGCUGGCGGCAGGCCUAACACAUGCAAGUCGAACGGUAACAGGAAGCAGCUUGCUGCUUUGCUGACGAGUGGCGGACGGGUGAGUAAUGUCUGGGAAACUGCCUGAUGGAGGGGGAUAACUACUGGAAACGGUAGCUAAUACCGCAUAACGUCGCAAGACCAAAGAGGGGGACCUUCGGGCCUCUUGCCAUCGGAUGUGCCCAGAUGGGAUUAGCUAGUAGGUGGGGUAACGGCUCACCUAGGCGACGAUCCCUAGCUGGUCUGAGAGGAUGACCAGCCACACUGGAACUGAGACACGGUCCAGACUCCUACGGGAGGCAGCAGUGGGGAAUAUUGCACAAUGGGCGCAAGCCUGAUGCAGCCAUGCCGCGUGUAUGAAGAAGGCCUUCGGGUUGUAAAGUACUUUCAGCGGGGAGGAAGGGAGUAAAGUUAAUACCUUUGCUCAUUGACGUUACCCGCAGAAGAAGCACCGGCUAACUCCGUGCCAGCAGCCGCGGUAAUACGGAGGGUGCAAGCGUUAAUCGGAAUUACUGGGCGUAAAGCGCACGCAGGCGGUUUGUUAAGUCAGAUGUGAAAUCCCCGGGCUCAACCUGGGAACUGCAUCUGAUACUGGCAAGCUUGAGUCUCGUAGAGGGGGGUAGAAUUCCAGGUGUAGCGGUGAAAUGCGUAGAGAUCUGGAGGAAUACCGGUGGCGAAGGCGGCCCCCUGGACGAAGACUGACGCUCAGGUGCGAAAGCGUGUGGAGCAAACAGGAUUAGAUACCCUGGUAGUCCACGCCGUAAACGAUGUCGACUUGAAGGUUGUGCCCUUGAGGCGUGGCUUCCGGAGCUAACGCGUUAAGUCGACCGCCUGGGGAGUACGGCCGCAAGGUUAAAACUCAAAUGAAUUGACGGGGGCCCGCACAAGCGGUGGAACAUGUGGUUUAAUUCGAUGCAACGCGAAGAACCUUACCUGGUCUUGACAUCCACAGAACUUUCCAGAGAUGGAUUGGUGCCUUCGGGAACUGUGAGACAGGUGCUGCAUGGCUGUCGUCAGCUCGUGUUGUGAAAUGUUGGGUUAAGUCCCGCAACGAGCGCAACCCUUAUCCUUUGUUGCCAGCGGUCCGGCCGGGAACUCAAAGGAGACUGCCAGUGAUAAACUGGAGGAAGGUGGGGAUGACGUCAAGUCAUCAUGGCCCUUACGACCAGGGCUACACACGUGCUACAAUGGCGCAUACAAAGAGAAGCGACCUCGCGAGAGCAAGCGGACCUCAUAAAGUGCGUCGUAGUCCGGAUUGGAGUCUGCAACUCGACUCCAUGAAGUCGGAAUCGCUAGUAAUCGUGGAUCAGAAUGCCACGGUGAAUACGUUCCCGGGCCUUGUACACACCGCCCGUCACACCAUGGGAGUGGGUUGCAAAAGAAGUAGGUAGCUUAACCUUCGGGAGGGCGCUUACCACUUUGUGAUUCAUGACUGGGGUGAAGUCGUAACAAGGUAACC